AGAGUUUGUAUCUCGGCUCAGGACGAACGGCUGGCGGCGUGCCUAACACAUGCAAGUCGAACGAGGUUGAUCUGGUGGCAACACCAGUGACUACCUAGUGGCGAACGGGUGAGUAACACGUGAGGAACCUGCCCCGAAGACCGGGAUAACCCUCCGAAAGGAGAGCUAAUACCGGAUACCCCACCGAAUCGCAUGAUUUGGUGAGGAAAUGGAUUCCGCUUCGGGAGGGCCUCGCGGCCUAUCAGCUAGUUGUGGGGUAACGGCCCACCAAGGCAUCGACGGGUAGCUGGUCUGAGAGGACGAUCAGCCACACUGGGACUGAGACACGGCCCAGACUCCUACGGGAGGCAGCAGUGGGGAAUCUUGCGCAAUGGGCGAAAGCCUGACGCAGCAACGCCGCGUGGGGGAUGAAGGCUCUCGGGUUGUAAACCCCUUUCAGCAGGGACGAAUCAAGACGGUACCUGCAGAAGAAGCCCCGGCUAACUACGUG
rnacentral:rRNA from 1 species